CAGUCGCCGCGGGAAUACGUAGGUGGCAAGCGUUGUCCGGAAUUACUGGGCGUAAAGCGUGCGCAGGCGGUUGUGUAAGACAGGUGUGAAAUCCCCGGGCUUAACCUGGGAACUGCGCUUGUGACUGCACAGCUAGAGUAUGGCAGAGGGGGGUGGAAUUCCACGUGUAGCAGUGAAAUGCGUAGAGAUGUGGAGGAACACCGAUGGCGAAGGCAGCCCCCUGGGCCAAUACUGACGCUCAUGCACGAAAGCGUGGGGAGCAAACAGGAUUAGAUACCCCGGUAGUCCCUGUCUCUUAUAC
rnacentral:rRNA from 1 species